rnacentral:misc_RNA from 1 species
GGGCAGCGACGGCAUCUACCCAACGCCUCUUCAUUCGUGUGAUCAAGCUCGACUUGGCCGCGGUCGGUUUUCCUGUGUUGCAUACCUAUUGCGAGGGCAUUCAGUUGGCUAAAACGGUUCUAUCUCCGCCUUGUGUCGGUGCUCCAUCCGGGAGUUUGGCACGGGGUGGAUCUCAUGGCAUGCGUUGUGUUUCGCGCGGCAUUCACCUAAUUUGGUGUUUGGGUAGGCGACCCAUGACGUGAUGCCCGUUCUCUCGGGUACGGAACAUCGGGUGGGUUCGAGGCCUUGUCCCUUGAUCACCACACAAUAGCGUUCUACGCUUUAUGCGAACGACGGCUGCACACGACCCUCGGCGGAGCACUUGCUGCUCUAUCGAAGUCGCGUCGGCGUCGGUGAGGGAUGCUAC